CCUACGGGAGGCAGCAGUAGGGAAUUUUGCGCAAUGGGCGAAAGCCUGACGCAGCAACGCCGCGUGAUCGAUUAAGCCCUUCGGGGUGUAAAGAUCUGUCAGUGGGGACGAAACUUGACGGUACUCACUGAGGAACCACCGCCAAAUUCCGUGCCAGCAGCCGCGGUAAUACGGAGGGGGCAAGCGUUGCCCGGAUUCAUUGGGUGUAAGGAGUCCGUAGGUGGCAUAUUAGGUCUGAUGUUAAAUGCAGAAGCGCAACUUCUGUUCGGCAUUGGAUACUGGUAGGCUGGAGUGCGGUAGAGGUAGGGGGAAUUCCUGGUGUAGCGGUGAAAUGCGUAGAUAUCAGGAGGAACAUCAGUGGCGAAAGCGCUUUGCUGGACCGUAAUUGACGCUGAGGAACGAAAGCCGGGGUAGCAAAUGGGAUUAGAUACCCGAGUAGUC
rnacentral:rRNA from 1 species